GACGAACGCUGGCGGCGGGCUUAACACAUGCAAGUCGAACGGAAAGGCCCUGCUUUUGUGGGGUGCUCGAGUGGCGAACGGGUGAGUAACACGUGAGUAACCUGCCCUUGACUUUGGGAUAACUUCAGGAAACUGGGGCUAAUACCGGAUAGGAGCUCCUGCUGCAUGGUGGGGGUUGGAAAGUUUCGGCGGUUGGGGAUGGACUCGCGGCUUAUCAGCUUGUUGGUGGGGUAGUGGCUUACCAAGGCUUUGACGGGUAGCCGGCCUGAGAGGGGGAGCGGCCAAAUUGGGACUGGGAUACGGCACAGACUACUAUGGGAGGGAGGAGUGGGGAAUAUUGCACAAUGGGCGGAAGCCUGAUGCAGCAACGCCGCGUGCGGGAUGACGGCCUUCGGGUUGUAAACCGCUUUCGCCUGUGACGAAGCGUGAGUGACGGUAAUGGGUAAAGAAGCACCGGCUAACUACGUG
rnacentral:rRNA from 1 species